CUCUACCUGAACCCUAAAUCUACCCCUAAUCCUUCCCUAACCCUCAGUACUCCUUAGUCCUACACCUAAACAUAAGUAUCCCUUAACCCUAUGUCUAACCCCUACCCUAACCCUAAGAACCCUUAAUGCUACCCCUCACUCUACCCUAACCUGAAAUCCCCCUGCCUUUGCCCAUGGUAUCAUCUUACACCUUCUCUAGCACUGUGUACUCCUAACAAAAGACAUGUUGCUAUAAAGAGUACCGUAUUGAAUACAAUGUUAUUAGUGCCAUUCAUUAAUGAUCAACAUUUG